rnacentral:rRNA from 1 species
AACUCAAAGGAAUUGACGGGGCCCGCACAAGCAGCGGAGCGUGUGGUUUAAUUCGAUGAUACGCGAAGAACCUUACCUGGUCUUGACAUGCACGUGGUACUGAUUCGAAAGAUGAGGGACCCUUCGGGGAGCGUGCACAGGUGUUGCACGGCCGUCGUCAGCUCGUGCCGUGAGGUGUUGGGUUAAGUCUCGCAACGAGCGCAACCCCCGUCGCCAGUUGUAUUUUUCUGGCGAGACUGCCGGGAAAUCCCCGGAGGAAGGAGGGGAUGAUGUCAGGUCAGCGUGGCCCUUACGACCAGGGCUACACACACGCUACAAUGGGUGGUACAGAGGGUCGCGAAGCCGCGAGGUGGAGCUAAUCCCACAAAGCCAUCCUCAGUUCGGAUUGCAGGCUGAAACUCGCCUGCAUGAAGCCGGAGUUGCUAGUAACCGCAGGUCAGCACUACUGCGGUGAAUACGUUCCCGGGCCUU